ACGAGUGGCGGACGGGUGAGUAACACGUGGGUAACCUGCCCUUAAGUGGGGGAUAACAUUUGGAAACAGAUGCUAAUACCGCAUAGAUCCAAGAACCGCAUGGUUCUUGGCUGAAAGAUGGCGUAAGCUAUCGCUUUUGGAUGGACCCGCGGCGUAUUAGCUAGUUGGUGAGGUAAUGGCUCACCAAGGCGAUGAUACGUAGCCGAACUGAGAGGUUGAUCGGCCACAUUGGGACUGAGACACGGCCCAAACUCCUACGGGAGGCAGCAGUAGGGAAUCUUCCACAAUGGACGCAAGUCUGAUGGAGCAACGCCGCGUGAGUGAAGAAGGCUUUCGGGUCGUAAAACUCUGUUGUUGGAGAAGAAUGGUCGGCAGAGUAACUGUUGUCGGCGUGACGGUAUCCAACCAGAAAGCCACGGCUAACUACGUGCCAGCAGCCGCGGUAAUACGUAGGUGGCAAGCGUUAUCCGGAUUUAUUGGGCGUAAAGCGAGCGCAGGCGGUUUUUUAAGUCUGAUGUGAAAGCCCUCGGCUUAACCGAGGAAGCGCAUCGGAAACUGGGAAACUUGAGUGCAGAAGAGGACAGUGGAACUCCAUGUGUAGCGGUGAAAUGCGUAGAUAUAUGGAAGAACACCAGUGGCGAAGGCGGCUGUCUGGUCUGUAACUGACGCUGAGGCUCGAAAGCAUGGGUAGCGAACAGGAUUAGAUACCCUGGUAGUCCAUGCCGUAAACGAUGAAUGCUAGGUGUUGGAGGGUUUCCGCCCUUCAGUGCCGCAGCUAACGCAUUAAGCAUUCCGCCUGGGGAGUACGACCGCAAGGUUGAAACUCAAAGGAAUUGACGGGGGCCCGCACAAGCGGUGGAGCAUGUGGUUUAAUUCGAAGCAACGCGAAGAACCUUACCAGGUCUUGACAUCUUUUGAUCACCUGAGAGAUCAGGUUUCCCCUUCGGGGGCAAAAUGACAGGUGGUGCAUGGUUGUCGUCAGCUCGUGUCGUGAGAUGUUGGGUUAAGUCCCGCAACGAGCGCAACCCUUAUGACUAGUUGCCAGCAUUUAGUUGGGCACUCUAGUAAGACUGCCGGUGACAAACCGGAGGAAGGUGGGGAUGACGUCAAAUCAUCAUGCCCCUUAUGACCUGGGCUACACACGUGCUACAAUGGAUGGUACAACGAGUUGCGAGACCGCGAGGUCAAGCUAAUCUCUUAAAGCCAUUCUCAGUUCGGACUGUAGGCUGCAACUCGCCUACACGAAGUCGGAAUCGCUAGUAAUCGCGGAUCAGCACGCCGCGGUGAAUACGUUCCCGGGCCUUGUACACACCGCCCGUCACACCAUGAGAGUUUGUAACACCCGAAGCCGGUGGCGUAACCCUUUUAGGGAGCGAGCCGUCUAAGGUGGGACAAAUGAUUAGGGUGAAGUCGUAACAAGGUAGCCGUAGGAGAACCUGCGGUUGGAUCAC
rnacentral:rRNA from 1 species